GGAAAGGGCACUAGAGCUGUGCGCAUGCGCAAAACAGGACGCGCGUACCAGGGUCAGGUCGUGGAGCUCACGUGACUCGGGGUGAUCCUGGACGCUCCCUUAUUAGGAAAGGUCUUCGGCCAAGGAGUCGCUUGGUGGAAGAGGUGCUUAGGAGCGAAGCUGCAACUGCGACCCAAGCAGGUGAAGAGGUCUCUGCCCUCCCAAAGAAGAAGUCCGAAAAAGAAACACGUCUCAGUGGUCUGACGAUACGAUUAAAGAUGAUGCAGGGUCACCGGGAAUUCGUCCAGUGUCCUGUCAGUAUCGGAUAAGGCGGCUCAUUCCUAAGAUAUGUUUAUUGUCCACCACGUGUCAGGCUCUAUUCUAGGAUCUGUGGAUGCAACAGUGAGGAAAGCAGUCAAAUGAGGGCUGUAGCUCAGUGGCACAGUGCUUGCCCUUGGGUCCAGUCCUCAGCACCAAAACCAAAAAGAGGUGAAAGUCCUUUAACCAGUUCAGCCUUUGGAGAGACACAUGUGCAAAGGCUCUUAGCCGCACGCCACUGAAAUCAGCAAUCUGACUGCUAAGAGCAGGUGUUGGUCCCAGCGCUUCUGCCUAUGCACCACUCCAAAUUUGAGUGGAGAAGGGUACUCUUCCUAGUACUAAAGGAAGCGCCCUGGGAAUAGACCCACACACCUGUCAGGUCGGCGUGGGGCUCCCAACCUCGCCUGCACAUUGGAAUCACCUUCAAAAACUGCAGCUGUCUGGCGCUCAAUAGCCCAGCAAAUUAAAUUCCCGGAGCAAAACUUUGGGAAGGCUUUCACUGGAUUUUGCUUCAGUCUCCUUAUCUCUGGAAGUGUCUGAAAUAAGGCCCAACCAAGGAGAUGGGAGUGAGAGAUUAGGCCAUGUGUCGCUCUCCACGCCUGGACUUCUUCACCCGGGAGUGACAUCUCUCUGAAAAGCAACAGGAGACGAAGCCCAGUGCCGGCACAUAUCCCAGGCAGCUGCUGUGCCACGAUUCUGCUGAUUUUGCACCUGCUAAAGGAAUUCCUGGGACCUGCCUAGAAUCAGUGUCGGGUGGAUGCAAACUGAUGCCCAGGUGUGCUACGCAGGCCCCUUGAGGGAGCAUCCCCGGAAGGAGACGCUAAUAAAGGCUAUGAGCGGGGACUGGGUUUCACCAACAACUGGAAUCCGAGUGGUCAGUCAGACCCUGCCCUGGCCCGGGCACCCUCCACAGCACACCCUUUGAAAGACAAAGGAGUAACACCAAAGCCUUUACCCUUGCCUCUGCCUGUAGAUGCACCCCAUCCUACCUGCCCAGCCUCCGGUGCCCUGUCCUUGUGGCUGACAGGGUGGGCCUGUCCCUGGGCUGACCCCUGCUUUAUGCUCGCAGCAACUGUAUUCCAGGAAAUAUGAAAACACGCCUGACAGGAAAGACCCAUGGAAGUUCUGCUCAGUGUUUUCCAGGAAUGGUGCAGGCGCAUCACGCACAGGAGAUCCCAGACGUCUGAAGCCAAGAGGAACAAAGCCUCCCGAGCAGGCCUGGAUAUCCCCACAGCCACAUCCGUGCCUAUCCGAGGAGGGAAAGCUACGUGCAGAGAAUGGACUUGGAGAAAACCGAGUGGCUGCCAGCUUCAGUGCCUCUUGUCCCAAGUGCUGGAACUGGCCAGCAACAUGGCCCUGCAAGCCAAGAUGAGCAAGUAUGUAUCAUGCUAUAAUUGGACAUGACUAGACGUCUGGUGAGAGGCAGGUGGAGGAGAAAGUACCAUAAAAUGCAUUAUGUCAUGAAGAUCACCCAAGAGGAGGCGGGACCCUCUGUGGCUGGCCCACUGGAUCUUCUCUGCAGUUCACUCUUUUCUGAGGGGGGCAGAGGAAGAGAGUCAUUUAAAACUGUCAGUUUGGGCUGGGGAUGUGGCUCAAGCGGUAGCGCACUCGCCUGGCGUGUGUGCGGCCCAGGUUCGAUCCUCAGCACCACAUACAAACAAAGAUGUUGUGUCUGCCAAAAACUAAAAAAUAAAUAUUAAAAAAUUCUCUCUAAUAAAAAAUAAUA